UGAGGUGAUUUUAACCAGCGCUGAUGUGCUCAGCAGCAUGUGUGUGCAUGUUCAGUGUCCUUCCAGGCAUCUCCUCUGUCCUUUUCAAUAGAAGAGAUGUUUGAAACAAUUUCAUCCCAGUGAUUAAAAAAAAAUAAAAAAUGGAGGAGAUACCAAGACAGACAUCCCACUCAGAGCAGAGUUCACAGUGGUGCGAGAUACAGAAUAUCAGCAUCAAACAGUUUGAAACAGAAUGCUGUCAGCAAGAGUUUGGUGUCUCGUGGAAGAAUGGAAGGGAGAGCAAGGGUCCUGAGCUACCCAGCAUGGCCCCAGGAGCCAGGAAACCCUUAAUCCACUCCCAAGCAAGUCCAGUCCUGCUGCAGCUCCACUAAUGGUCAAACAGCUGAGCUGGCCACAGCACCUGUCAACAGGCAGGAGCUGUGUGCCUGUAAUAAACUGGAGGGACUGAGCA
rnacentral:lncRNA from 1 species